rnacentral:rRNA from 1 species
GACGAACGCUGGCGGCGUGCUUAACACAUGCAAGUCGAACGGAAAGGCCCUGCUUUUGUGGGGUGCUCGAGUGGCGAACGGGUGAGUAACACGUGAGUAACCUGCCCUUGACUUUGGGAUAACUUCAGGAAACUGGGGCUAAUACCGGAUAUGAGCUCCUGCUGCAUGGUGGGGGUUGGAAAGUUUCGGCGGUUGGGGAUGGACUCGCGGCUUAUCAGCUUGUUGGUGGGGUAGUGGCUUACCAAGGCUUUGACGGGUAGCCGGCCUGAGAGGGUGACCGGCCACAUUGGGACUGAGAUACGGCGCAGACUCCUACGGGAGGCAGCAGUGGGGAAGAUGGCACAAUGGGCGGAAGCCGGAUGCAGCAACGCCGCGUGCGGGAUGACGGCCUUCGGGUUGGAAACCGCUUUAGCCUGUGACGAAGCGUGAGUGACGGUAAUGGGUAAAGAAGCACCGGCUAACUACGUG